GACGAACGCUGGCGGCGUGCUUAACACAUGCAAGUCGAACGGAAAGGCCCUGCUUUUGUGGGGUGCUCGAGUGGUGAACGGGUGAGUAACACGUGAGUAACCUGCCCUUGACUUUGGUAUAACUUCAGGAAACUGGGGCUAAUACCGGAUAGGAGCUCCUGCUGCAUGGUGUGGGUUGGAAAGUUUCGGCGGUUGGGGAUGGACUCGCGGCUUAUCAGCUUGUUUGUGGGGUAGUGGCUUACCAAGGCUUUGACGGGUAGCCGGCCUGAGAGGGUGACCGGCGACAUUGGGACUGAGAGACGGACCAGACUACUACGGGAGGCAGCAGUGGGGAAUAGUGCACAAUGGGCGGAAGCCUGAUGCAGAAACGCCGCGUGCGGGAUGACGGCCUUCGGGUUGUAAACCGCUUUCGCCUGUGACGAAGCGUGAGUGACGGUAAUGGGUAAAGAAGCACCGGCUAACUACGUG
rnacentral:rRNA from 1 species